rnacentral:lncRNA from 1 species
CCUCUGUAGUUUCUUUUCUUUGGGUUAAACAUCCAGUUUCCUUCCAUUAUUCCUCAUCACAAAUGUUUUCAAAUCCCUUCAUCUCUUUGGUGGCUCUCUGGAACAUGCUCCCAUUUAUAUGUUUUUCUUUCAGCACACUCUAAACCAAACCCAGCAAAACUCCAGGUUGGUUUUACCAAGGUGGAGUAGGGUUCUAAUUCCUCUUGUUCUACAACAUUCUGUUCUUCUUUUAAGUUAAUCUAAGACUGCAGAGAGUUGGAACAGGCUGGCAGGAGAGACUCUGAGCUUUAAAUAGCAAGUCAUUGUAACCUCACUGCACAGACACUUCACUACAAAGUGGGCACUGGCAUGAUCUUAUCUGCUACAAUUCCUCUUAGAAAUGGUUUACACAAACAGACAAAUCGACUCCAUCCAGAAACUGUACAGACUGUUCUCAUCUUUGUCCUUGAAAAGAGAGAACUCCCCCAGUGGAGCACCAGCUGAACAUUCUGGCCCUCAGUUCCAGUCUGCACCCAGUGCCUCAUGUUGCCAUCUGGUCAUGGCCUUUGCCAGCAUUAUUUCAGGCUGCUCUUACAGCAAAGUUCACCUGGGAGUUAUAGAUGACAACAUUGCCCAGGGGUCCUCAAAGAUGCUGAGGUUUGAAGACGUCUCUUCGUGUGUCAAAAUGGGAAUAUUACUAUCUCUCUUGCCCACAUCUCAGAGUUGUUGUGAGGAUCAAAGGAGAGAAUGGCUAUAAAAGUGCUUUGAAAACAGUGAAAGCUCUCCACACUGGCAAGACAUUAUUAUUGUGAAAUUGUGUUAGAAAUAGUGGGGCAACUGUUCUUGUAUCUAAAUAUUAUUAAUUGUAACAUAAAGAUGAGAGAGAGAAUGAGGGGAGAUACUGAGAGAGAGGAGAAAGAAGAAAAGAUUUAAUAUGGGCUUAGUUUGUAAACAUAUACAUCAAGCUAUUAGCUGACUGUUUAAUCCAGGUGAGGUGACAUCUUUCCUUCCUCACCUACAAGUCACUGCUGUUGGCUGGCACAGCUUUAUGCCUGCUUCUGCCACACCACUGAGAUUGUUCUCCUUACCAUUAGACUCCAAAGCACAAGCUCAAUUCUGGGGUAAAAAAUAUUGGCUUUACCCUUAAAAGUAAAUGGGUAAAUUAAAAGGCAGGCUAAUUUUGCAGUGUCUUAAAUUACUCUGGUAAUAGCAAAUAACAAUAAUUGCCAAGUAGAAAAGGAGGAACAAAGAUGAGAGAAAUAAAUCCUUUAAGAACACACA